rnacentral:rRNA from 1 species
AUUGAACGCUGGCGGACUGCUUUACACAUGCACGUCGAACGGCAGCACGGGUGCUUGCACCUGGUGGCGAGUGGCGAACGGGUGAGUAAUAUAUCGGAACGUAUCCAAUAAUGGGGGAUAACUAGCCGAAAGGUUAGCUAAUACCGCAUACGCCCUGCGGGGGACAGCUGGUGACCGUAAGGCCUAGCGUGGAUGGAGCGGCCGAUAUCUGAUUAGCUAGUUGGUGGGGUAAGAGCCUACCAAGGCGACGAACAGUAGCUGGUCUGAGAGGACGACCAGCCACACUGGAACUGAGACACGGUCCAGACUCCUACGGGAGGCAGCAGUGGGGAAUUUUGGACAAGGGGGGCAACCCUGAUCCAGCCAUUCCGCGUGAGUGAAGAAGGCCUUCGGGUUGUAAAGCUCUUUCGCAAGGGAAGAAAACUCGAUCUCUAAUAUAGGUUGAGGCUGACGGUACCUUGAUAAGAAGCACCGGCUAACUACGUGCCAGCCGCCGCAGUAA